AAGACUAUACUUUCAGGGAUCAUUUCUAUAGUAUUUAACUAGGAAAUGUGUUUCGAAAGUGUUGUGUCUCCCAAACCACGAUGAUGAGUGAUAGUGCGCUUCUCUGAGCGUGAAUCGGGUGAUGGUCUGUGAUUUAUUCGCGGAUAAUUAUCAUUGAUGAACGUUCAUAGGUUCUUUAUGAAUCUUUGAGGGGGAGUGCAUGGUCCGAGUGGU